ACACAUGCAAGUCGAGCGAGAAGCCAAUGUUUGAUUCUUCGGAAGAUUACUUUGGUGGAAAGCGGCGGACGGGUGAGUAACGCGUGGGCAACCUACCUUAUACAGGGGGACAACAUCGGGAAACCGGUGCUAAUACCGCAUAACACAUUGAAAUGGAAUCAUUAUGAUGUCAAAGGAGGAAUCCGGUAUAAGAUGGGCCCGCGUCCAAUUAGCUAGUUGGUGAGGUAACGGCUCACCAAGGCGACGAUUGGUAGCCGAACUGAGAGGUUGAUCGGCCACAUUGGGACUGAGACACGGCCCAGACUCCUACGGGAGGCAGCAGUGGGGAAUAUUGCACAAUGGGGGAAACCCUGAUGCGGCAACGCCGCGUGAAGGAUGAAGGUCUUCGGAUUGUAAACUUCUUUGAUUGGGGAAGAAGAAGUGACGGUACCCAAAAAACAAGCCACGGCUAACUACGUGCCAGCAGCCGCGGUAAUACGUAGGUGGCAAGCGUUGUCCGGAAUUACUGGGUGUAAAGGGCGUGUAGGCGGGGAUGCAAGUCAGGUGUGAAAGCCCAUGGCUCAACUGUGGGACUGCAUCUGAAACUGAAUCUCUUGAGUACUGGAGAGGGAAGUGGAAUUCCUAGUGUAGCGGUGAAAUGCGUAGAGAUUAGGAGGAACACCAGUGGCGAAGGCGGCUUCCUGGACAGUAACUGACGCUGAGGCGCGAAAGCGUGGGGAGCGAACAGGAUUAGAUACCCUGGUAGUCCACGCCGUAAACGAUGGAUACUAGGUGUAGGAGGUAUCGACCCCUUCUGUGCCGGAGUUAACACAUUAAGUAUCCCACCUGGGGAAUACGACCGCAAGGUUGAAACUCAAAGGAAUUGACGGGGGCCCGCACAAGCAGUGGAGUAUGUGGUUUAAUUCGAAGCAACGCGAAGAACCUUACCAGGGCUUGACAUCCCUUGACAGCUCUAGAGAUAGAGUUUCCCUUCGGGGCAAGGAGACAGGUGGUGCAUGGUGUCGUCAGCUCGUUGUGAGAUGUUGGGUUAAUCGUAACGAGCGCACCUUAUUGUUAGUUGCCAGCAAGUAAAGUUGGGCACUUACGAGACUGCCGUGAUAAUCGGAGGAAGUGGGAUGACGUCAAAUCAUCAUGCCC
rnacentral:rRNA from 1 species